rnacentral:misc_RNA from 1 species
GAAAUGCGAUAAGUAAUGUGAAUUGCAGAAUUCCGUGAGUCAUCGAAUCUUUGAACGCACAUUGCGCCCGCCAGCAUUCUGGCGGGCAUGCCUGUUCGAGCGUCAUUUCAACCCUCAGGCCCUGCCUGGUGUUGGAGGACUGCGCACCGCAGCCUCCCAAAGCAAGCGGCGGCGGCUCCCCAUAACCGAACGCAGUAGUUACAUCUCGUUCUGGGUCUGGGUCGUUGUCCUGCCGGAAAACCCCCAUCUUUUUAAUGGUUGACCUCGAAUCAGGUAGGAAUACCCGCUGAACUUAA